rnacentral:rRNA from 1 species
CCCUUAGAUGUCCUGGGCCGCACGUGUGCUACACUGAUGCAUUCAACGAGUUUUACCUUGGCCGAGAGGCCUGGGCAAUCUUUUAAACCUGCAUCGUGAUAGGGAUAGAUUAUUGCAAUUAUUAAUCUUGAACGAGGAAUUCCUAGUAAACGCAAAUCAUCAAUUUGCAUUGAUUACGUCCCUGCCCUUUGUACACACCGCCCGUCGCACCUACCGAUUGAAUGGUCCGGUGAAGCCUCGGGAUUGUGGCCAGUUCACUUUAUUGGGAGUUGGCUGUGAGAACUUGUCUAAACCUUAUCAUUUAGAGGAAGGUGAAGUCGUAACA